GAAGGUAAAAGUCGUAACAAGGUUUCCGUAGGUGAACCUGCG
rnacentral:rRNA from 1 species